rnacentral:SRP_RNA from 1 species
GCCGGGCGCGGUGGGGGAUGCCUGUAGUCCCAGCUAUUCAGGAGGCUGAGGUGGGAGGAUCGCUUGAGCCCAGGAGUUCUGGGCUGUAGUGCGCUAUGCCCAUCGGGUGUUGGCACUAAGUUCGACAUCAAUAUGGUGACCUCUCGGGAGAGGGGGACCACCAGGUUGCCUAAGGAGGUGUGAACCAGCCCAAGUCAGAAAUGGAGCAGGUCAAAAACCCCUGCUGAUCAGUAGUGGGAUGGCGCCUGUGAAUAGCCACUGCACUCCAGCCUAGGCAACAUAGCGAGACCCUGUCUCU